AGUAGAAAUAAAUGUCAUACUGUCGGUUUCAGAAGUGCCUUGCUGUGGGGAUGUCUCAUAAGGCCAUCAGGUUUGGGCGGAUGCCACAGGCCGAAGAGAAGCUAUCGGUGGAGAUCUCCAGUGAUAUCGACCAGCCGAACCCAGAGUCUGCUGAUCUCCCGGCCCUGGCAAAACAUUUGUGUGACUCAUACAUAAAGUCCUUCCCGCUGACCAAAGCAAAGGCCAGGGCGAUCUUGACAGGAAAGACAACAGACAAAUCACCAUUUGUUAUCUAAGACAUGAAUUCCUUCAUGAUGGGAGAAGACAAAAUCAAGUUUAAACACAUCACCCCCCUGCAGGAGCAGAGCAAAGAGGUGGCCAUCCGCAUGUCUCAGGGAUGCCAGUUUCGCUCUGUGGAAGCUUUGCAAGAGAUCACAGAGUACGCCAAAAGUAUUCCCGGUCUUGUGAACCUUGACUUGAAUGAUCACGUAACUCUCCUCAACUAUGGCGUCCAUGAGACCAUUUACACGAUGCUGGCCUCCUUGAUGAAUAGAGAUGGGGUUCUCAUAUCAGAGGGCCAAGGAUUCAUGAUGAGGGAAUUUCUAAAGAGCCUGCGAAAGCCCUUUGGUGACUUUAUGGAGCCCAAGUUUGAGUUUGCUGUGGAGUUCAAUGCACUGGAAUUAGAUGACAGUGACUUGGCAAUAUUUAUAGCUGUCAUUAUUCUCGGUGGAGACCUCCCAGGUUUGCUGAAUGUGAAGCCUAUUGAAGACAUACAAGAUAACCAGCUGCAAGCCCUGGAGCUCCAGCUCAAGCUGAACCACCCCGAAUCCUCCCAGCUCUUUGCCAAGCUGCUGCAGAAAAUGACAGACCUCAGACAAGUUGUCAUAGAACAUGUGCAGCUAUUGCAGGUGAUAAAGAAGACAGAGAAAGACAUGAGUCUUCACCCCCUCCUACAAGAAAUCUACAAGGACUUGUAUUAGGAGAGAAGUCCUGAUCCACUGACAACAUUUUCCUUCCAAUUGCACUAUUAUUUUGAGGGAAAACCUGACACCUAAGAAAUUUAUUGUGAAAUAGCAUUUUAAAAAGAAAGGGUUUUAGAAUAUGAUC